rnacentral:rRNA from 1 species
UACCGAGUGGCGGACGGGUGAGUAACGCGUGGGUAACCUGCCUCAUACAGGGGGAUAACAGUUAGAAAUGACUGCUAAUACCGCAUAAGACCACAGCACCGCAUGGUGCAGGGGUAAAAACUCCGGUGGUAUGAGAUGGACCCGCGUCUGAUUAGGUAGUUGGUGGGGUAACGGCCUACCAAGCCGACGAUCAGUAGCCGACCUGAGAGGGUGACCGGCCACAUUGGGACUGAGACACGGCCCAA